AAUCAACGCUGGCGGCGUGCCUCAGACAUGCAAGUCGAACGCGAAAGUCCCCUUCGGGGGACGAAGUAGAGUGGCGCACGGGUGAGUAACACGUAGGUAAUCUACCUUCGGAUGGGGAAUAACAACCGGAAACGGUUGCUAAUACCGCAUAAUGCAGCGGCACCUAAUGGUGACAGUUGUUAAAGCGGGGGAUCGAAAGACCUCGCGUCUGAAGAGGAGCCUGCGGCGGAUUAGCUAGNGGUAAGGUAAUGGCUUACCAAGGCGACGAUCCGUAGCCGGCCUGAGAGGGCGGUCGGCCACACUGACACUGACAUACGGGUCAGACUCCUACGGGAGGCAGCAGUCGGGAAUUUUGGGCAAUGGGCGAAAGCCUGACCCAGCAACGCCGCGUGAAGGAUGAAAUCCCUCGGGAUGUAAACUUCG
rnacentral:rRNA from 1 species